rnacentral:rRNA from 1 species
UACGUAGGGGGCAAGCGUUGUCCGGAUUUAUUGGGCGUAAAGAGCGUGUAGGCGGUUUGGUAGGUCCGCUGUGAAAACUCGAGCUCAACUUCGAGACGCCGGUGGAAACCAUCAGACUAGAGUCCGGAAGAGGAGAGUGGAAUUCCUGGUGUAGCGGUGAAAUGCGCAGAUAUCAGGAAGAACACCCGUGGCUAAGGCGGCUCUCUAGUACGGUACUGACGCUGAGACGCGAAAGCGUGGG